rnacentral:sRNA from 1 species
AGAAAGAGGCAAUAAC